rnacentral:sRNA from 1 species
GCUGGGUGUGGUGGUGCGUGCCUGUAAUCCCAGCAGCUCUGGAGGCUGAGGCAAGAGGAUCUCAAGUUUAAAGCCAGUCUCAGCAACUCAGCAAGACCUUGUCUUUA